CUGAGAUUUGCAGUGGAAGUACUUUGUACGGGAUCUUGUUACUCCGAUCUGAGAUUUGUGCGCUGCUCAUCGGGCCGAUUUUUGUCAUGCGGCUCAUGCCUAUCAACUCCUGAAGAAAGGUGGGCUUAAAGAUGUAAACAUUGUCGUUUUCAUGUACGAUGACGUUGCUUUCAAUGAAGAGAACCCCAGGCAGAAAAUCAAAAUUAACAGCCCACAUGGCGAAGAUGUAAACGAUGGAGUGCCAAAGGUUCGUUUCCUGCUAUUUCGCUAACCCAGUAUUAAAAUCAAGAAAUUUUGUUUCCUUCUUGUUCAUUUGUUGGGUUUGUACGUGAACAGUAUUAUUCCGAGGGUGAUGUCACUAUAAACAACUUCUUUGCUACUAUUCUUGGAAACAAAACUGCCCUUACAGGCGGCAGUGGAAAGGUUGUGGACAGUGGUCCAAACGGCCCUAUUUUUUUUAUAUAUUACACUGAUCAUGGGGUCCUAGUGUCCUCGGUAACUCUCUCUCUCUCUCUCUCUCUCUACUAAGCUUGGUUAGCGGUGGCACCUUGCACCCUAGCCAAGUGGAGACAAAUGCAUGAGGUAGGCAUGUCUUGACAAGGUGACCCAAUGGUGUCGGUUGGUGUCGGCAUUGGUCCAUUAGGCAAGUGGCUGCUGGGAUGCACGUGAAGGCCCAAUGAUUAGUGGGCAUGGAUGCUAUACGAGAAGCUAGCUUGUGGGACAAUGCAAUCAGAAAACGGCUAAGUAUUUGGAGCUGGGUUGGAUCACGAAAUUGGCCAGCUAACCUUGAUUGGGAUCAGGCAAAACGGUUAUUGACGGUUAUUGCACUCUGCACAUGUUGUUGGCAGGUAGGGACAGGUGUUCCAAGCAGAAUCGGGCAAUUAUUGGCAGUUAUCUCCAGACAAUUUCAUUUUCCUGCGUGCUGGCAGCUUGUGGUUGUGCCAGCGCAACCCUAGGGUAGUUGGGAGUGUCAACUGCAGAUCAUGGGGCCAUCCCAUGAUCCCAUUUACUUAGUGGCCACGUUUAUUGAUUGUAGCCUUAUAGAGGCAUUGGCUUUUCGAGUCUAAGGCAGAGGGAUGUUAUGAUGUUAUGGUCUGGUACUCUUAAGUGUUUAUUCUUUGUUUGUUGGCUGCAUGGAGUCACUAUCUCUAUAAUCUAUAAUUGACCAAGUAAGGCACUGUGUAAAAUUAAUUUGCGCUUCUUUUUUGUGGAAGACACGAUCCUUUGUUUCCAGAUUGGCUUGUCUUCAAUUUUAAAAAAUGGCACAGUGCAAUCUGAAUGAUGUGAGAAUUUUAUGUUGUGGAAACUGUAUUUUUAUCAGCUAUGAUGCCUUUUUUUCA